GUCUAUGGCCAUACCACCCUGAACGCUUCCGAUCUCAUCUGAUCCCGGAAGCUAAGCAAGGUUGGGCCUGGUUAGUACUUGGAUGGGAGAAUACUUAAGAUCUGCUCGCUUAGAAU
rnacentral:rRNA from 1 species